UGGGCCCUUAGAAGCAUGGCACAUGUAGUUGCCAUGUCACAUGUACAUCAGUAGGCGGCAGAGAGGAGAGCAGCUAUGUCUAUGCUCAGUGCUCUAAUUAUUAACACCUGAGUAACUAGUUUAAUAUU